rnacentral:rRNA from 1 species
CCUACGGGUGGCAGCAGUAGGGAAUCUUCCACAAUGGGCGAAAGCCUGAUGGAGCAACGCCGCGUGGGUGAAGAAGGUCUUCGGAUCGUAAAACCCUGUUGUUAGAGAAGAAAGUGCGUGAGAGUAACUGUUCACGUUUCGACGGUAUCUAACCAGAAAGCCACGGCUAACUACGUGCCAGCAGCCGCGUGAAUACGUAGGUGGCAAGCGUUAUCCGGAUUUAUUGGGCGUAAAGGGAACGCAGGCGGUCUUUUAAGUCUGAUGGGAAAGCCUUCGGCUUAACCGGAGUAGUGCAUUGGAAACUGGGAGACUUGAGUGCAGAAGAGGAGAGUGGAACUCCAUGUGUAGCGGUGAAAUGCGUAGAUAUAUGGAAGAACACCAGUGGCGAAAGCGGCUCUCUGGUCUGUAACUGACGCUGAGGUUCGAAAGCGUGGGUAGCAAACAGGAUUAGAUACCCGAGUAGUC